CCUACGGGUGGCAGCAGUGAGGAAUAUUGGUCAAUGGGCGCGAGCCUGAACCAGCCAAGUAGCGUGAAGGAUGACUGCCCUACGGGUUGUAAACUUCUUUUAUAAAGGAAUAAAGUGAGGCACGCGUGCCUUUUUGUAUGUACUUUAUGAAUAAGCAUCGGCUAACUCCGUGCCAGCAGCCGCGGUAAUACGGAGGAUCCGAGCGUUAUCCGGAUUUAUUGGGUUUAAAGGGUGCGUAGAUGGGGUGUUAAGUCAGUUGUGAAAGUGUGCGGCUCAACCGUAAAAUUGCAAUUGAUACUGGCAGUCUUGAGUAGAGUAGAGGUAUGCGGAAUUCGUGGUGUAGCGGUGAAAGGCUUAGAUAUCACGAAGAACUCCGAUUGCGAAGGCAGCUUACUAAACUGCCACUGACACUGAUGCUCGAAAGUGUGGGUAUCGAACAGGAUUAGAUACCCGAGUAGUC
rnacentral:rRNA from 1 species